UACAGAGGUCUCAAGCGUUGUUCGGAUUCAUUGGGCGUAAAGGGUGCGUAGGCGGCGCGGUAAGUCGGGUGUGAAAUUUCGAGGCUUAACUUCGAAACUGCAUUCGAUACUACCGUGCUUGAGGACUGGAGAGGAGACUGGAAUUUACGGUGUAGCGGUGAAAUGCGUAGAUAUCGUAAGGAAGACCAGUGGCGAAGGCGGGUCUCUGGACAGUUCCUGACGCUGAGGCACGAAGGCCAGGGGAGCAAACGGG
rnacentral:rRNA from 1 species